AGCCAUCCCAUCUAGGAAGUGAGGAGCGCCUCUUCCCAGCCGCCAUCACAUCUAGGAAGUGAGGAGCGUCUCUGCCCGGCUGCCCAUCGUCUGAGAUGUGGGGAGCGCCUCUGCCCCGCCGCCCCAUCUGGGAUGUGAGGAGUGCCUCUGCCCGGCCGAGACCCCGUCUGGGAGGUGAGGAGCGUCUCUGCCCAGCCGCCCCGUCUGAGAAGUGAGGAGACCCUCUGCCUGGCAACCACCCCGUCUGAGAAGUGAGGAGGCCCUCCGCCCGGCAGCUGCCCCGUCUGAGAAGUGAGGAGCCUCUCCGCCCGGCAGCCACCCCAUCUGGGAAGUGAGGAGCGUCUCUGCCCGGCAGCCACCCCGUCCGGGAGGGAGGUGGGGGUGGUCAGCCCCUGCCUGGCCAGCUGCCCCAUCCGGGAGGGAGGUCGGGGGUCAGCCCCCCGCCCGGCCAGCCGCCCCGUCCGGGAGGUGAGGGGCACCUCUGCCCGGCCACCCCUACUGGGAAGUGAGGAGCCCCUCAGCCUGGCCAGCCGCCCCGUCCGGGAGGGAGGUGGGGGGGUCAGCCCUCCACCCGGCCAGCUGCCCCGUCUGGGAGGUGAGGGGCGCCUCUGCCCGGCUGCCCCUACUGGGAAGUGAGGAGCCCCUCUGCCCGGCCAGCCGCCCCGUCCGGGAGGGAGGUGGGGGGGUCAGCCCUCCGCCCGGCCAGCUGCCCCGUCUGGGAGGUGAGGGGCGCCUCUGCCCGGCUGCCCCUACUGGGAAGUGAGGAGCCCCUUUGCCCGGCCAGCUGCCCAGUCUGGGAGGGAGGUGGGGGGGUCAGCCCCCUGCCCGGCCAGCUGCCCCGUCUGGGAGGUGAGGGGUGCCUCUGCCCGGCCGCCCCUAUUGGGAAGUGAGGAGCCCCUCUGCCCGGCCAGCCGCCCCGUCCAGGAGGGAGGUGGGGGGGGUCAGCCCCCCCCGCCCGGCCAGCCGCCCCGUCCGGGAGGUGAGGGGUGCCUCUGCCCGGCCGCCCCUACUGGGAAGUGAGGAGCCCCCCUGCCUGGCCACCACCCCGUCUGGGAGGUGUGCCCAACAGCUCAUUGAGAACGGGCCAGGAUGACAA
rnacentral:lncRNA from 1 species